CCUACGGGGGGCAGCAGUGGGGAAUAUUGCACAAUGGGGGAAACCCUGAUGCAGCGACUCCGCGUGAGUGAAGACGUAUCUCAGUACGUAAAGCUCUAUCAGCGGGGAAGAAAAUGACGGUACCUAACUAAGAAUCCCCGGCUAAAUACGUGCCAGCAGCCGCGGGCAUACGUCGGGGGAAAGCGUUAACCGGAUUGACUGGGUGUAAAGGGAGCGUAGACGGCUGCACAAGUCUGGAGUGAAAUCCCGGGGCUUAACCCCGGAACUGCUUUGGAAACUGUGCGGCUGGAGUGCAGGAGGGGUAAGCGGAAUUCCUAGUGUAGCGGUGAAAUGCGUAGAUAUUAGGAGGAACACCGGUGGCGAAGGCGGCUUACUGGAAUGUAACUGACGUUGAGGCUCGAAAGCGUGGGGAGCAAACAGGAUUAGAUACCCUGGUAGUC
rnacentral:rRNA from 1 species